rnacentral:snRNA from 1 species
GGACGUGAGGUCAAUCUGGCUGCAACCUCUGUUCCCUCAUUGGUCACCAGGAUUGAUUCUGUCCCCUUCCUCCCUCACAGCUCCAUGUGCAUCCGUCCCAAAGGUCAGAAAGGACAACCUUCCCCCAAAGAGAGGAGAAUUAACAUUCAGUCAAGGUAUAGAGUAGCUGUACUUCCUUCUAAAACCCCCAAAGAAGCCCUCCAGGUUGCAAUGCGUGUCCUCCAGGGGAGAAAAGCACUUAGUCUGAGAAGAG